rnacentral:miRNA from 1 species
CAGAAGAUAGAGAGCACAAC